rnacentral:rRNA from 1 species
UACGAAGGGGGCUAGCGUUGCUCGGAAUUACUGGGCGUAAAGGGCGCGUAGGCGGACAUUUAAGUCAGGGGUGAAAUCCCAGAGCUCAACUCUGGAACUGCCUUUGAUACUGGGUGUCUUGAGUGUGAGAGAGGUAUGUGGAACUCCGAGUGUAGAGGUGAAAUUCGUAGAUAUUCGGAAGAACACCAGUGGCGAAGGCGACAUACUGGCCCAUUACUGACGCUGAGGCGCGAAAGCGUGGGGAGCAAACAGG